rnacentral:rRNA from 1 species
UACGAAGGGGGCUAGCGUUGCUCGGAAUGACUGGGCGUAAAGGGCGCGUAGGCGGAUGGCACAGUCAGAUGUGAAAUUCCCGGGCUUAACCUGGGGGCUGCAUUUGAUACGUGUGACCUAGAGUGAGGAAGAGGGUCGUGGAAUUCCCAGUGUAGAGGUGAAAUUCGUAGAUAUUGGGAAGAACACCGGUGGCGAAGGCGGCGACCUGGUCCUUGACUGACGCUGAGGCGCGAAAGCGUGGGGAGCAAACAGG